rnacentral:tRNA from 1 species
GCGGGGGUGCCCGAGUCUGGUCAGGGGGCAGGCUCAGGACCUGCUGGCGUAGGCCUGCGUGGGUUCACUUCGGGCCCAUAAAUCCCAUCCCCCGCACCA